rnacentral:rRNA from 1 species
AACGAACGCUGGCGGCAUGCCUAACACAUGCAAGUCGAACGAGACCUUCGGGUCUAGUGGCGCACGGGUGCGUAACGCGUGGGAACCUGCCCUUAGGUUCGGAAUAACUCCCCGAAAGGGGUGCUAAUACCGGAUAAUGUCUUCGGACCAAAGAUUUAUCGCCUUUGGAUGGGCCCGCGUUGGAUUAGCUAGUUGUUAGGGUAAAAGCCUACCAAGGCGACGAUCCAUAGCUGGUCUGAGAGGAUGAUCAGCCACACUGGGACUGAGACACGGCCCAGACUCCUACGGGAGGCAGCAGUGGGGAAUAUUGGACAAUGGGCGAAAGCCUGAUCCAGCAAUGCCGCGUGAGUGAUGAAGGCCUUAGGGUUGUAAAGCUCUUUUACCCGGGAUGAUAAUGACGGUACCGGGAGAAUAAGCUCCGGCUAACUCCGUG